ensembl:snRNA U6 U6 spliceosomal RNA
GCACUCAAUUCGGCAGCGUACCUACUAAAAUUGGAACUAUGCAGAAAAGAUUAGCCUGGCCCCUGCGUAAGGAUGCCAUGCAAAUUCAUGGAGCGUUCUGUAUUUUU